CGUGAGAACCAAUUUCAAUCUGUGACAGAGCACUGAAGGGCAGAUGCCAGGCAUCGGAGGCCACCGGCACCAGCCCCUGCCGCCGACGGCAUGUUCUGGCUGCUCCCGCCCCUCCUGCUUGUCUUCUCCAGCCCAGGGAACACAGCUUCGCAAGACAGCUCAAAGCCACUGAGAGUGAAUGGGGUCUUGGGGGAGGCGGUAACCCUUUCCCUGAAGCCUCCUGUGCCGACGGGUAUUCAGUCCACCACCUGGCUUCACAAUGGAAACUCCAUCGCCUUCAUACUGCCGAAAGCUGUCUCAGAUUCCAACUUUUUCGUGACUGACCCAGAAUGGAAAGAUCGACUGCAGCCAGCGGAGAACUACUCCCUACGACUCAGCAACCUGACCGGGGCAGACGCAGGACGUUACUGCGCCCAGAUGACCAUUCAGACCUCUAAAGAGUUCUCCUGUUACACUCUGCAGGUCUUCAGACGGCUGAGGAACGUACAAACUGCCAGUCACACUUGGCUGUCUGAGACUGGGACCUGUGAGAUCCAUCUGACCUGCUUUGUGGAGAACUCAAAGGACACCUUCAUAAGGUGGCAGGUUGUAGGAAACACAUCUGUAAAUGAAGCAAACCUCUCCAUCUCCUGGGACUCCAGGAAUUCCGGGGAACAGGAGUUCACCUGCAUAGCUGAGAAUCCUGUCAGCAACAUAUCCCUCUCUGUCUCCACACAGAGACUCUGUGAAGGUGUUUUGAGUACGAAAAAUCAGCCUGAUGCCAAGUGGAUUGUAACUGUGGUUGUGGUUGUUUUGAUGUGCACAGCCAUCAUUGUGGGGUUAUUUGUUUGGAGGAAAAAAGAUCGUUUGUGGAGGACAGGUAAAAGGAGGGAGGCUCGUCCACUGGGACAACCCCUGGGAUGCGACCAAAGACCUGCUAAGUUUCUAAGGGGAGUGGGUCCGACCGGCAAAUGCCCAACCAAGCUUCAAGGUCUAGCUGCAUUGCACUUCCCGUGCAGCCCACCUCCCCCACAUCCUCUAGAGAGACACCUGUGGGCAUGGGGUAGGGUGUGGGAGCCUCUCUCACUACACUCACAAAUUUCAAUUUACCUGAUUUUAUUUUUCAGGCAUCUUUCAUUUCUCUACUCCACAAACCCUGAGUCCUGCAGAGACCAUAAGGAACAUAGACUAUGUCUCCGUCUCUCCAGGGAAUACCGUGUAUGCUCAUGUCACACAUCCAAACAGGCAAAUAAAUAGCCCAAUACCUGUGAAAAGCAGUGAUUUCUCCACCAUUUACUCCACAGUUCAUCAGUCCAAAGAGAGUAAACCUAUUUCUUCCAGGACAACUGCCCUCAACAAUGUCAUUUAAGUUGUUGAGAGGUCUCAAAAGGAACUCAGCUUCUUCUCAGACUCAGAGUGACACAGCUUCUCCCGAUCCCAUCGGGGAGAUCACAGCUUGGUUUCUGCCUGGCAACAGAAUUUGAAUAUUUAGGAUUAUCCCUUCCAGUUCCUCGGACUAGAACCUGCUCAAGUACGUCAAACAUCUUGGGAAUAACGUCAUUUCCAGCGUGUGAUCCAAAUAACAUGUUCUAAUCUGCUCCAGGCCAAAACAUGCUUCCGUGAACAAGCCUGGACAUUGACUUUCUCUUUGGGAACUGACAGAGUUGUGUUUGACAGAGAGUUAUAAUUCAAGGACAACCCCUCUUCCCCUUUUAGAAAGCUGGAUGUGAUUCACUGGGAGGGAGUACAGUGGAUUUGUUAUGUAUGUUGUCUCUGGAACUGGCUGGGCCUAUUUCCAAACCCUCACAUGUGGUUUAUAGACAUACCUCCUGGGACAUGUUCUGCAACCUCUUGAGCUCUGGUCUCCUAGACUGAAAAAUGGGGAUCAGCCUGUUACUCAAACCAGGAACCAGAUUUAGCCUUGACUUCAGCUGUUCCAUCACCAGGCCCAAAUAUGUACUGUAGACGGACCCCGUUCUCUCCAAACCUUAUCCACCACCCUGUAUUAACCCAUGAUCAUCUCCAACAUGAAAUGUGACAGUAAGCACAUUUCAAAUUUCCCCAGUUUUUGCUCUUAUCUCCCUCUGAUCCAUUCUCUACAAGACAGCUGGAGAAAUAUUUUUAAUAUAAACCAGAUCCUUCACUUGACUGCUUAAAAUUGGCCUUGCAAAGGCUUCCCAGGCACUCAGAAAGAAACCGAGUCUCCGUAGCUCUGGAUGGCUUGGCCCACCUGCAGCUUAGCCAUCACGCCUCCCUCCCUGCCCCGCUCUGAUUUGGCUUCUCUGAUUCUCUUUCAGCCCCUCCAUCAGAGGAGAGAGUUUCCUCACAUCUGCCUCAAGACCCUUUCUGCCUGCCUCCUUACUCUACAGGUCUCAAUAUAUACAUGUUACCCUCCAAGAAAGACCUUCAGGCCACUGGACCUAACCCUAAACCCUGUUAUGCUGCCACACCUUAUGUGUCAUUUAUCAUAUGCCAUUAAAUAUUUAUUUUUAUUUAAGGUACUCUACUGUACCCUCUCCAGGAAAGGGACCAUGAUGAUUUUAUCUCUGUAUCCAGAGCCUCUGGCACAUAGAAAAUGUUCAACAGAUACUUUUUAAUAAAUAAAUGAAUGUGUGGUAGA